GCUUGGCGCAGCUACACAUGCAGUCGAGCGGUAGCACAGAGAGCUUGCUCUCGGGUGACGAGCGGCGGACGGGUGAGUAAUGUCUGGGAAACUGCCUGAUGGAGGGGGAUAACUACUGGAAACGGUAGCUAAUACCGCAUAACGUCGCAAGACCAAAGUGGGGGACCUUCGGGCCUCAUGCCAUCAGAUGUGCCCAGAUGGGAUUAGCUGGUAGGUGGGGUAACGGCUCACCUAGGCGACGAUCCCUAGCUGGUCUGAGAGGAUGACCAGCCACACUGGAACUGAGACACGGUCCAGACUCCUACGGGAGGCAGCAGUGGGGAAUAUUGCACAAUGGGCGCAAGCCUGAUGCAGCCAUGCCGCGUGUGUGAAGAAGGCCUUCGGGUUGUAAAGCACUUUCAGCGGGGAGGAAGGCGGUGAGGUUAAUAACCUCACCGAUUGACGUUACCCGCAGAAGAAGCACCGGCUAACUCCGUGCCAGCAGCCGCGGUAAUACGGAGGGUGCAAGCGUUAAUCGGAAUUACUGGGCGUAAAGCGCACGCAGGCGGUCUGUCAAGUCGGAUGUGAAAUCCCCGGGCUCAACCUGGGAACUGCAUUCGAAACUGGCAGGCUAGAGUCUUGUAGAGGGGGGUAGAAUUCCAGGUGUAGCGGUGAAAUGCGUAGAGAUCUGGAGGAAUACCGGUGGCGAAGGCGGCCCCCUGGACAAAGACUGACGCUCAGGUGCGAAAGCGUGGGGAGCAAACAGGAUUAGAUACCCUGGUAGUCCACGCUGUAAACGAUGUCGAUUUGGAGGUUGUGCCCUUGAGGCGUGGCUUCCGGAGCUAACGCGUUAAAUCGACCGCCUGGGGAGUACGGCCGCAAGGUUAAAACUCAAAUGAAUUGACGGGGGCCCGCACAAGCGGUGGAGCAUGUGGUUUAAUUCGAUGCAACGCGAAGAACCUUACCUGGUCUUGACAUCCACAGAACUUUCCAGAGAUGGAUUGGUGCCUUCGGGAACUGUGAGACAGGUGCUGCAUGGCUGUCGUCAGCUCGUGUUGUGAAAUGUUGGGUUAAGUCCCGCAACGAGCGCAACCCUUAUCCUUUGUUGCCAGCGGUUCGGCCGGGAACUCAAAGGAGACUGCCAGUGAUAAACUGGAGGAAGGUGGGGAUGACGUCAAGUCAUCAUGGCCCUUACGACCAGGGCUACACACGUGCUACAAUGGCAUAUACAAAGAGAAGCGACCUCGCGAGAGCAAGCGGACCUCAUAAAGUAUGUCGUAGUCCGGAUUGGAGUCUGCAACUCGACUCCAUGAAGUCGGAAUCGCUAGUAAUCGUAGAUCAGAAUGCUACGGUGAAUACGUUCCCGGGCCUUGUACACACCGCCCGUCACACCAUGGGAGUGGGUUGCAAAAGAAGUAGGUAGCUUAACCUUCGGGAGGGCGCUACCACUUUGAUCCGGG
rnacentral:rRNA from 1 species